UUCAGGAUAGUUAAAGAAUAAUACUAGCUUUGGAAGUUAGAGUUUGAAAUACCUGAAA
rnacentral:tRNA from 1 species